rnacentral:rRNA from 1 species
UACGGGGGGGGCAAGCGUUGUUGCGGAAUUACUGGGCGUAAAGGGCUCGUAGGUGGCCAACUAAGUCAGACGUGAAAUCCCUCGGCUUAACCGGGGAACUGCGUCUGAUACUGGAUGGCUGGAGUAUGGGAGAGGGAUGCGGAAGUUCCAGGUGGUGAGCGGGUGAAAUGACGUAGAGAUCGGGAAAGAACAUCGGUGGCGAAAGCGCUGCUGCGUGGACUGCAACUGACACUCAGGGACGAAAGCUAGGGGAGCGAAUGGG